rnacentral:tRNA from 4 species
GCGUAAGAGGCCAUAGUGGAAUGGCGCCUGCCUUCCAAGUAGGAGAUAGCGAGUUCGAACCUCGUCUUACGCU